rnacentral:ncRNA from 1 species
CUUCGGGGCAGGGUGAAAUUCCCUACUGGCGGUAUAGUCCGCGAACCUUUUAGGCCGAUUUGGUGACUGUAGCAUCAUGCAACAGAAUUCCAAAACCAACAGUAUAGUCUGGAUGAAAGAAGU